AAAGAAACAGUACAUCUUACGCGUCUUUCCUUUGGAAAAUUAAAUACACGCUCAGCUUUUUACAGUGAGCAGCCAUCGAUGGGUCACCAUCUUCUUUCUCAAAACAGCGACCAUGGCCAACCCCCUCCCCUCCCUCUCUUCACCGCCUCUCUCCCCCCCCCCCAAACCCCCCCCCCCCCCCCCAACUAAACCGAUAGCUGGCCGCCUGUCACCCUACCUAUACACGAAUCUUUCAUUUUCAUCACCCAAAGCCAGCAAAUCGCCAAAAAUAAGAGAAAGUCCCAAUUUGGUGCAACAAUUCAAAAUUGGUGUCAAAUUCGCGUUUUUGAGUUCCGAAAUCAUGAAAAGGGGAGGUCUAAAAGCUGUGAGUUUGGACUUCAAAUAAGGAUUUUCUUCAUUUUGGGGUUUUGCCCGUUGGAGCCUUUUUUGUGUGUUUAAAUCCGGACUUUCGCGGCCGGAUUUCACCUAUAAAUAUGGGCGAAUUAGUAGCGUAAGAGAGCAGUGAAAAUUGUGGGAAAAAGCAGCAAGAGAGGUUCAAAAAAUCCGGCAAAAGCGGCAAGGCAAGGCAAAGGUUUUUUUAUUUUCUCGAAAUUUGUUCUUGGCAAAAAGAAAGAAAAAAUCAGUAAGUCACCAACGAGUGGCUGGAAUAGUUGUUCUUUUCUUCGGGUUUGCAAGUCGAGCUUGAAACCUUAAAUUUUGGGGUCUGAAGUUGAGUUUGCUGUCGGAACCUCGCCGUCGAAAUCCCAGUUUCGCUGCGCCGAAAAAGUAUGGGUACCGACCACCCAUGGCUGGUGGUUCGAGGAAGAGGAAAUAACGGCAGAAGCCAAAGUCAAAACACUAAAGGAAGAGGAUCCUCAUUUUCAUUUUAUACUUUAGGUUCUUCGAAUUUUCCUGUAUUACAAAGAGGAAAUAUGAGUUUGAUAAAUACGAAAAUACAGCAUAUUACAGAA